UACAGAGGGGGCAAGCGUUAUUCGGAAUUAUUGGGCGUAAAGGGCGCGUAGGCGGCCAUUCAAGGGACGGGUGAAAGCCCUCGGCUUAACCGAGGAACUGCCUGUCAGACUGGAUGGCUUGAGACCGGGAGAGGUGAGUGGAAUUCCCAGUGUAGCGGUGAAAUGCGUAGAUAUUGGGAGGAACACCAGUGGCGAAGGCGGCUCACUGGACCGGAACUGACGCUGAGGCGCGAAAGCGUGGGGAGCGAACAGG
rnacentral:rRNA from 1 species